rnacentral:lncRNA from 1 species
GGAGACCCUGCUAAUUAUACGGCAACCUUAGAAUCGGUUUCUCCCGCUGAACUAGAGGACAAGCCACACACCUGCAGAACUUUACCAGCAGGAGCAGUGCUGGGACCCAACUCAGGCAACCAGCUCUGCUAAUGAACCCAGAAAAAGCACACAAACUUGUUUUCCCUCCAAGACAGAGACAACACAGUGGGGUUUUCAGAAGUGUGUGGUGUGGAAGCAGCCAGGUGUAGCCACUGCACAAAUGCAGUGGGAACACUCUCGUAUGAUAAAAUCAAAGACGAUGUCGCCUGCUUCCACAUGACAGAUCCAGGAAACUGCAGGAUAGAAUCACGCUCGUGUGCCUGGGCAGGGAGAGCUGGUUCACCCAUGUCUGAACACUGGGACACCAGUUCUCCUCCAAACAUCUUGGACUACUUAAAUGCAAAGGAAAGCCCGGAGGCCUGGUAUAGAUGUUUCAUCAAAAAUUUCACCGUGCUGUGUCAGAAAUCAGAAGACAGAAUUUAGAACCAUCCCGUUUCCUCUGCAGAAAGCUUUUCAAGAAGAUACACUCGGAAUUAGCAAUAUUUCCACCAAAAUAUGAAGUGUAAAGAGAGCCUUCAAUAAAGCCACAGGACUCAAAAAAGGAAGUUUGCUAAGAGCAAGGAAAUGUGAAGGAGUUGGAGCGACAGCGUUAGAACAUUUAAUUUGGCUUUAUGUUGUAAUUAUGACUUGCGGGAAGUGGCCUGGCGUGUAUGAAUGCUGUUGCUGGAAAGAGCACUUGAGCAUCAGCGAAAAUUCUGAAAGCUGUGUUUACAACGGACGCACACACAACAGAAAGCAAACCGUGGAGACGAGGGUUUUGGAAACGUGCCCUCCUCGGCAUUCAUUAUAACCAAUAAUUAAUUAAGAGAUUUUUUAAAGUCCCUUCCUUGGCAUCACGUUCCUCAGUGAGAAUGCGGAUGAGAAGUCAGAGGUGUUUGGGACAUAAGUGCAAGUAGUUACGGGCAGGGUUUUUCAGUUUUGGUUUUUAAAGAGAAUGAAAACGAAGUGGGGAGACAGCGGCACAGUGUGCGGUGCCCUGCCGGCCAGGCCACGCUUUCUCCACCCUGACUCCCACGUUCGCUCAACAGUAUGAGAACUUCACGGUAACAUGGAAGGGAUCCCCGCACUCCCUCUAAUGCUAUUUCUGUUCGAUGCGUUCUUUGGCUGCGAAUUUGAGAACUGCCUUUUUGGCAAAGCCAGUGAGUUUUGUGUUUUCAGAUCAACCGAAAGGACGUUGACUUUCAGGUUCCCGAUCCUUCUGAAUCCAAUCCCAAAUUUAAAACAGCAUCCGAUCCUGGCUACAGCCUGAGCUGGGCCCCAGGUCAGCCAAGCUUCCCAGGUGGAAAGGAAGGAAUCCAGGUUGCCCAAGAUGCUGUGGCCUGGGUGACAGUUACCAGCCUCCAGAGAGGCCUCAGCCUUCGGGGUGCCUUGCUCAGAGCAGGCACAUACCUCUCACCGCAAGAGCCAUCUGACCAUGGUUACUCGACCCCUCCCCCAGAGUGAGUUCACUGUCCACCAGAGGGGACAGCUCCCACUGCCAGGCUUCGGUGAAACCACGUGGACUGUGGAAGCAACCCAGUGUCCACUGAUGAAUGAAUGGAGAAACGAAAGGUGAUUUAUCCGUAGGGUGGGACAGCACCCGGCCUUGGAAAGGAAGGGAACAUGGACGGCACCUAAGGAUGUUCUGCUGAGUGAAACAACCAGCCACAAAAAGACGAACCUUGCACGAUUCCACUCACAUGAGGAAGCUAAGGGGUCAAAAUCAUAGAGACGGAAAGUAGGAUUGCGGGUGCCAGGGCUGGGGGAGGAAACAGGGAGUUCGUGUUUCAUGGGGGACAGAGUCUCAUUUGGGAAGAUGGAAAGUUCUGGAGCUGAAUAGUGGUGACGGUUGCACAGCAGCGCAGAUGUGCUUAAUGCCACUGAAGUGU